rnacentral:misc_RNA from 1 species
CAGAAGGUGAAGAAUAUCGAAGAUGAUUCACAGAAAAUGGAGCUUGUUAACCGGUCCUGUUGCUAUACUCGGCGGAAUCGUCGGUAGUAUUGUCGUCGCUAAUUUUAUCUUUGUCCAAAAUGAUCCCUUCCUUAAGCCAGAACGAAAGCUGGAGAAGGCACCUUCAACCAAGUAGAAAUAGUAGAUGUGUGAAAUUCUCUGAUUUGAGGUUUUCCGCUUGUUAGGUUCAUUACAUUUGGGCCCAAUAAAGUGAACAUCUGAGCAAUCAAAAGCUUGAAUGUAGGUUUUCAUUUGUCAUUUAUCUUGGCUUUCUUUCUGAACUCAUUCAAAUCACUUUAUAAAAUAUGAAACUAUCUGCCCUCAAACAAAAGUUGGGUCUCCUGUUUUGUGAUGCUUUAUUCAGGUUAUGAAUACAAUAAGAAUCUGGAAAUG